rnacentral:lncRNA from 1 species
AUUCCCCACAGCAGGAACCUGCUUGGUGUGUUGGAGGAGGGGCAAGGCGGCCCGUGUGGCUGGAGAUAGCAGGCGAUGAGGUCACAACAGUAACCGGGGAGUCAAUCCUGCAGGACGCCCUAGGCCUUUGUAAGGUUUUCAGCUUUUUCUCUGGGGUAGGAGGGACAUCACUGGAGAUUUUUGACAGGUCAUGGAGAUAAAAAGGACAGGAAAAGAAGACCGAAACGGAGCAGCCAGCACAAUAGGAGAAGCACAGUUUCGAGUUUCCAGACCAUUGACCACAAAGUGGAGAUCCUGCCCGGAGCAUGGCGCGUUGCAGUGGAACAUUUGAACUCUCCUCAUUUUCCCUGGAGCCAGAUCAACACCUGGUUGCUCCCAACCCCACCUCCCCAUGUCGAGCAGCAGACGCUGAUGUCUGGACAGGCAUGUUUCCAAGGGUCUAGCUGGUUCCCUGUGGGUCCCCAAUGUUUGGUGCAAUGCCAGGUUCUACAGCCUAACACUUGAGUGUGCGGUUCUGUGCAGACAGACAAUGAAGUUCAGGGCUGCAGGCCGCAGAUCUAAAGGCUGAUCCUGGGUCAGACACGAUCUGCCUAAAUGACCCUGGCAAAUUAUCUGGUCUCUUGUGCCUGUAACUACAUCUAUAAAACGUCAGAAAUAUUGACCUGUCCCCAAGUAGGUGAACUUUAAGAAACAGGCUUUGGAAAUCUUGGGAAGAAUGAUUUAAAAGUACCGCUUCCUGCUGGUGACCCAACCUAAGCAUAGUGUGUGGAGGAAUGCAAACGAUCAGCCUUUCCCAUGCAGUCGGCCGCACUGAAGUACUGUGGGUGACGAAAAUGGAUCUGUUGCCUAAGCUGGGUGUGGAAAAACCACGUGCCAGGCUGGAAAUCGAUGAAUUCACACCUUCUCUCUCGCUCCCUCAAGUUGGGCUGUGAUAUGAAUGACCUUUCCUAGAAGCAAAAGGAGGAAGAUGGAGUGUGACCACAGCGUCUGCUGAAUGUCAUUGAGAUGGUCACAUUCUCACUGACAGAUGGAGACUUGGGCAAAAGACCACUGAGGUGUGCACCUUCCUACCACCUUUGAACAGAACUCCCUCUGCUCUCGUCUCUGCAGCUAUAAGGUUUUCUCCCACCACAUGGAAAGGUGGCAGAAAGCCACAAUUCUGGAAAGAUGAGUGUUGUUCUAGAAAACUACCCUGACAUGCAACAGGCUCGUCAGCCCCAUGGAUGAGAUGUUUUGAAUUUCUUUCCUCUCCAUUUCUACUAUCUUCCUAUUUUUCGUGUAACUAACCUCUAAACCUCUCCUUGGCGAUCAGGCCUCCCUUCUGAUCCAGGUCUCUGCGCCUACUUGCAGCUCCCCACAUGCACCAGCUGUGUUCUUGUCUUCUUUUCAGAAAUCUCCUCUUGCGGGGUUGUUCAGGGCCCAUCUCUGUGUACAGGCCACCGCGUGUCUACCUCACAUCACCCUGUACGAUUAGUGCUGACUUAUCUUGCCCGCUGGACUGUGAGCUCCCAGAGGCAAGAACAGAUUCCCUCACCUCUUUAUCCUCAUCCAGGCUGUGUGGCCCAUGGGCCUCCUUCCCCACCCAUGAACACCGUCCAUUUUGCAGGACAGAUAUGAGCUCCCAGGUAAAACACUACAAAUGGGUGAGCGCAAAUCCCAUAGUCCCCACUUGGAAAAGGAAGGACUGAUCAUAACAAUUUUUAUAGUUUCUCUUUUUAUGGAAAGUCCC